rnacentral:tRNA from 1 species
AAAAUCCGUCGACUUUUGAAAUCGUGAGGGUUC